AUACGUAGGGUGCGAGCGUUGUCCGGAAUUACUGGGCGUAAAGAGCUCGUAGGUGGUUUGUCGCGUCGUCUGUGAAAUUCCGGGGCUUAACUCCGGGCGUGCAGGCGAUACGGGCAUAACUUGAGUACUGUAGGGGAGACUGGAAUUCCUGGUGUAGCGGUGAAAUGCGCAGAUAUCAGGAGGAACACCGGUGGCGAAGGCGGGUCUCUGGGCAGUAACUGACGCUGAGGAGCGAAAGCAUGGGUAGCGAACAGGAUUAGAUACCCUGGUAGUCCAUGCUGUAAACGGUGGGCGCUAGGUGUAGGGGUCUUCCACGACUUCUGUGCCGUAGCUAACGCAUUAAGCGCCCCGCCUGGGGAGUACGGCCGCAAGGCUAAAACUCAAAGGAAUUGACGGGG
rnacentral:rRNA from 1 species